ACUAAUAGUUCUGUACAAAACAAUUCGCCAGAGAACUACUAGCAACAGCUUAAAACUCAAAGGACUUGGCGGUGCUUUAUAUCCCUCUAGAGGAGCCUGUUCUAUAAUCGAUAAACCCCGAUAAACCUCACCAUCCCUUGCUAAUACAGUCUAUAUACCGCCAUCUUCAGCAAACAAUAAA
rnacentral:rRNA from 1 species